rnacentral:rRNA from 1 species
UACGAAGGGGGCUAGCGUUGCUCGGAAUCACUGGGCGUAAAGGGUGCGUAGGCGGGUCUUUAAGUCAGGGGUGAAAUCCUGGAGCUCAACUCCAGAACUGCCUUUGAUACUGAAGAUCUUGAGUUCGGGAGAGGUGAGUGGAACUGCGAGUGUAGAGGUGAAAUUCGUAGAUAUUCGCAAGAACACCAGUGGCUAAGGCGGCCAACUGGACGAAUACUGACGCUGAGACUCGAAAGCGUGGGGAGCAAACAGG